rnacentral:rRNA from 1 species
UUCUGGAAUAAGGGCUGGGCAAGACCGGUGCCAGCCGCCGCGGUAACACCGGCAGCUCAAGUGGUAGCCGCUUUUAUUGGGCCUAAAGCGUCCGUAGCCGGUCUGAUAAGUCUCUGGUGAAAUCCCACAGCUUAACUGUGGGAAUUGCUGGAGAUACUAUCAUGACUCGAGGUCGGGAGAGGCUGGAGGUACUCCCAGGGUAGGGGUGAAAUCCUGUAAUCCUGGGAGGACCACCUGUGGCGAAGGCGUCCAGCUGGAACGAACCUGACGGUGAGGGACGAAAGCCAGGGGCGCGAACCGGAUUAGAUACCCGUGUAGUCCC